rnacentral:lncRNA from 1 species
GAUAAUGAAAGACUCAAAAAACUCAAAUAGACUAUGAUAGUCUCUGACAUCACCUAAAAGACCCAGUACUACAGGACAGGAUUACAAAGGGAAAGACAAACAUAAAAACAGACUCAAAACAUAAAAAGGCUCUUUAAGCAGCUCCUGAAUGCAAUAGUCCUGGGGUAUCUGUCAUGCUCGAGUACUAGUACAUGGAUACACACCUGAAUGAGAAAAAUAAGACCAAAUAGAUUAGUGACUCAAGACAUUAUGGAACCUCCUAUUGACACAUGCAAGAAAUGAUUGGUCUAUUUUUGCAAAAUGGCAUAUGUGGCCAAAAGUGACUAUUAGUGCUAACUCAAAAUAAAGGUGACCUCAAAGACAAUGAAAAUACCUCACUAAGACUUAUAUGGAUUCAAACUCCCGAUAAUCAUGACCCAAAAUUAAUUUGCAGAAAUAACUCAUUCUGGCAAAAAUGACCAAUAUGGCCAAAAGUGGAUAAAGAUGCAAACUCAAAAAGGAUGAACCUUAAAGUAAUAUGACACCUAGUUGUGGACUCAAGAACCUAAGACAUGGGUCAUUGAACCACUUUUGCAAAAAUGACCCCAUUUUGCAAGAAUGACCGAUGUGGCCAAAAGUGACUAGACAUGCAAAUUCAACAGGAAUGGGCCUUGAAGUAAGGAGACAGCUAAUUGUGGAUUCUAGACUCUCCAAAUUCGAUUCAACAAGCCACUUCGCAAAAUAGCUCUAAUUUGCGACAAGACCGAUAUGGCCAAAAGUGGCUAGACAUGUAAGAUUUGGCUAAGACCCUACGAAGCCAAGAACCUAAGACUUACUAUGAAGACCGGACCCUAUGUGGGCUGCCUACGUAUCCCGCCCUGAAAGACGAGAAUCAGGUAUGCGUAGUUCAGGAAGAUUGAAUACAGAAAGUAAUUAAAAAAAACUGAUUUGGAGAAAACAUAUUUUUUUUGUUUUUCUUUUGUUUUUUGUUUUUUGUUUUUUGUGAAAUAUGUAAAAUCUUUUUGGAUUUUCUUUUCUCUUUUUUUUUUGAAAAAUGAUGGGAAAGUGCAAAAUCUUUUUGGAUUUUUCAUUUUCAUUUUUUGUCUUUUUCUUGAAAAAAAUUGUGAAAGAAAAAUAUAAUUGGGCUUUACUUGUUUCAUCUUUAUACUUCACCCUCUUUCCCAAACAUCAGUCCGCCAAAUGACCUCCUACCCUGAAAGAUGCAACAUGUAUCACAUAAGAAUGAUUGAAUGUCUUUUUGGGUCACGAGCCCAUUUUGACAAAAUUUGGAUAGGCCUCCUACAGAGGGACACGGUACCUGGGACCGAACCCUGCUAAGUGUAAAUGACAUGAUGCAAAUAAGCAUGACCUAAAGGCUGACCUAAGUUUGGGGUUCACUAGACAAGGCAAUUCGGGGCGACACGUGGUCGAUGGCGGUUGGUCUAACUGUCCGUCCACUCCCACGCCACCCCCUAAAGACACGGGUAACUCACAAAAAGGUCAUGUAUGCUCAAACGUACUCCGGAAGACUUGUUACAGAAAAAGACCCAUGGUUAUGUAGAUGAUGACAAUUAUAAAGCGGUAAACACAUAAGGAAAAGCAUAAACAAAUAACCAACAAAACAGCAAAUAAGACAAACAAACCAAAUAGACAAAGCAAAUAAAAAAAAUAAACACCUCAACCGAAUAUCCUAAAAGUCAACAAGAUCAAGUAUCAGCUCGAACCUGCAACUCCCCAGCAGAGUCGUCAAAGCUGUCAAACCCCUUUUUCACAAACCUCACUAACCCUCUUUAAAUCAAUAAAAAGAUUUUUGAAGCUCAAAAGGGUUUUCAAACUUGAAAAGUGACAAAGAAUUGUGUUCAAAAGGAUUAACUCAGAGUCGCCACCUAACAUUGGUUUCGGUGUGCUAGGUCACCGUAUUUUUUAAAAAUGAUUUUUCCUUUUAAAACACUUUGGACUCUAAAACUAAGUCUGCACCAUAGAUUCAGGUAAGGGAGUACAAUUGACUCGGGGAGAAGGUAUUAGGCAUUCCCCGAGUUCCGUAACUAGUAUGGUUGCAUACAUGAUCAAGUUGGCAUUCAAAAUAUUCAAACUGAGAUAAAAAACACAGAGAAGGGAAAAUAAACACACAAGAGGCUCGAGGUCAUCUCCACCUAAAAAAGGAGGUAAAAAUUAAAUAAAAUAAGAAUAAAAAGUACUACGAGUUCGCUUUCGGCCUCCAAUUACAGAAUACUACGGGGCAUUCCCCGGAAUAAAAUAUAUACAAAUCCUUUGGGGCAUUCCCUGGAUAAAUUUAACUAAGGGAACGACCUCUCACCUCAAAACUAACAAAAAUCCUAAGGCUUGCCUACCCAAGUGUGUUCGGCCUAAACAUACUCCUAUCAAAGAAAUAAAAAUGAAAUAGUGAACAUGUAAAACUCAAAUCUCAGUUGUUUUUUACUUAAGAUCCCAAAAAUAUGUCCCCAUACAAAAUCACGUCUUUCUAAAGUAUCUUCAUGUCAAUUAACAGAAUGGACAAGAAAAUUAAUGAAAACAUUUAGAGCAAUCAUGAGGAAUUGAAAAGCAACAUACAUUGAAUUAACAAAAAAUUACAAUGAGAUCAAACCCCUAAACAAAAUAAAUACUCCAGCACUAAAAUUCUUGUUUUCAUGAUUCUUAUGAAAGAAAGCAAUAGCAUACUGCUACACUUUAUCGGAAAACAAAAAUGAGUGAUCCUAACAAUUCAUAUUAGUCGCGGCGUGAUGGCGCCUUGUUAAAAUUAAAGCUAGCAGGAAGCACCCAAGACUAACUAGAGGCAUGAGUCACGGAUUCCAAUUUAGAGCACAUGAAACUUACACAUGAAAUUGAAAUGAGCCUAAUAGUUCAAUCGAAAUUUAAGCUAAAAGCUAAAGAAAUCAGUAAAUGAAAUGUCAAACAAACUAUGAGAUCAAAGAACCAAUCUACAUAUUUAGAACCUACGCCAAAUUUGUUAUUUGUAAUUGAAACUAAUCAAACUACAAUAAGGGAGAAAAUCAAUAGUAGAAAAAUUAGCUAUGCCAAGAAGUCAUGCUGAUUGCUGCAAUUUCAGUACAUUUAAUUUAGCUUUACAGAUCUAAUGCAAGAGGCAUACAUAACACAGAAUCACGAUAAAUCAGAAAAAUAUCAGUUCAUAUAGUAAGAUUACUGUGAUGACAAAUAUGUCAAGAAGAACGGACCUGAGAUAGUCUUUUAAUUAGUGAAACUCAUCAGUUACAACAACUAAAUAGAAAUGAUGAUUCUGGAAUUGAAACCUUCAACGUGAAAACUUCAAACAAAAGCAGCGAAAUGCCACCUUUGACCUCAAACAAUGCCCCAAUCAGAUGAACUCGAUCUGACCUCAAACUUAAUCGAAUUCAUAGUCGAAAACCAAAAAUCAUAGAAGGAAAGGUGAAAAUCUAAACCAAAACCUUGAAAAUAUCGGCCCUCUCUGCCCGAAUUCUUCUGUCCGAUUUUCUCCUCUCUCGCUCCCUGUGUAUAUGCGGCUGUGUGUGUCGAGUUCCUGGCGUGGAGGAGAUGUGGUGGGUCUUAGGUUGAAGCUUAGGGUUGCGGCUCUUAUGAAGUGAAGAAGAAGAGCCGCUCCUGGAGGUGUCUUUCUCUUAGGGAUUUUUUUAGGGGUUUUUGGGUUAGUGAAGGGUGAGGAAGAAGUCCAAACGGCUGGAGGUCUUCUUUUUG